rnacentral:sRNA from 2 species
CAGGCACCUCGUUCGGUGAGGCGUCUUCACGGACACAGGCCACUGACCCGACGACGUCGAGAGACGCCCAGGUUCAGGACACCUCUCCCCGGCCUAAGGGGUGAGGCCAAGUGGCUUCCCGCCCGGAGGGUGGGAUUACGCCGUGAAGUGCCAAAGCUCUGACGAGUUGGGGUGUACC